rnacentral:rRNA from 1 species
ACGCUGGCGGCGUGCUUAACACAUGCAAGUCGAACGAUGAAGCCUAGCUUGCUAGGUGGAUUAGUGGCGAACGGGUGAGUAAUACGUGAGUAACCUACCUUUAACUCUGGAUAAGCCUGGGAAACUGGGUCUAAUACCGGAUACGACCAAUCUCCGCAUGGGGUGUUGGUGGAAAGCGUUAUGUAGUGGUUAUAGAUGGGCUCACGGCCUAUCAGCUUGUUGGUGAGGUAACGGCUCACCAAGGCGACGACGGGUAGCCGGCCUGAGAGGGUGACCGGCCACACUGGGACUGAGACACGGCCCAGACUCCUACGGGAGGCAGCAGUGGGGAAUAUUGCACAAUGGGCGCAAGCCUGAUGCAGCGACGCCGCGUGAGGGAUGGCGGCCUUCGGGUUGUAAACCUCUGUUAGCAGGGAAGAGGAGAAAUUGACGGUACCUGCAGAGAAAGCGCCGGCUAACUACGUGCCAGCAGCCGCGGUAAUACGUAGGGCGCGAGCGUUGUCCGGAAUUAUUGGGCGUAAAGAGCUUGUAGGCGGUUUGUCGCGUCUGCUGUGAAAGGCCGGGGCUUAACCCCGUGUAUUGCAGUGGGUACGGGCAGACUAGAGUGCAGUAGGGGAGACUGGAACUCCUGGUGUAGCGGUGGAAUGCGCAGAUAUCAGGAAGAACACCGAUGGCGAAGGCAGGUCUCUGGGCUGUAACUGACGCUGAGAAGCGAAAGCAUGGGGAGCGAACAGGAUUAGAUACCCUGGUAGUCCAUGCCGUAAACGUUGGGCACUAGGUGUGGGGGACAUUCCACGUUUUCCGCGCCGUAGCUAACGCAUUAAGUGCCCCGCCUGGGGAGUACGGCCGCAAGGCUAAAACUCAAAGAAAUUGACGGGGGCCCGCACAAGCGGCGGAGCAUGCGGAUUAAUUCGAUGCAACGCG